AUCUUCCUUCUUCUCCUCAAGCCGAUCUCUCUCAUUUCGUAAGCUUAAGAUUUCCACCGUAAGCCUUCAAGAAAAAUCGACCUGGUAAGUGAAUUCUAUGGCUCUAAUCUCUAGUUGAAGCCUUGGAUUUAUGGGUUUAACCUAGGGUUUCUUUUUGAAAUUUUCUGCCAUGUAUCAGCUUUGGGUCUUUCGGAUUCCCUCUUUUUGCUUAUCUGCUGUGUUCUGUGGCUUGAAAAGGGGAUCAAAACAGGUAUGAACGAUGAGGCUGGGGAGCUAGGCACUACUGAGGAGGGAGGGGCUGAAGCUUAGAAUUCCCUGUCGGUUCAAUUUUAAUGAUAAUGGUUAUGUCUUUAUGUUUCUAUGAUGGGUCCCAUGUUGGGACGUUUUGUUGGUUUGACUUUAAUACAAUAUGUCCUUGGGUAUGAUGUAAGUACUAUGGUGGGGUGAUGGUAAUGAUGUAACUUCUAUAGUGGGGUGACGGUAACCCCACUAUAGAAGGUUAAAUGCCUUUUUGUAUGUGUUAUGAGGACGGAGUCCCCUUUUUAUUGGAACUAGUGAUGUUUUAAAUAAAUGAAUGAUGGACUCGGAGAGUCCUUUGGGUAAUA